UCAAAUUUAAUGGUGAUCAUUUGGGGACCUAUACACAUGGGUGGGGGAGGGUCUUAUAAGAUCAUUUUUCAUAUGAAAUAUAGUUGUAACUGUCAGAUUGGCCUAGAUUCAAUAUGGACCAUUGGGCUUAUAUUAUUCCAUCAGCUCAUGGGUUAACAAGAUCUUUUUUCUUUAUUCAUAAAAUGAAAAUAAAGAUAAUGGAAUACUUUUUUUUUUAAAAAAAAAAAAUUCUCACCAGUUUGAUUCUUAUUAGUAAAAUGGAAAUAAGUAUAAAUGAUUGAAUUUUAUGCUCCUACUUGAAAAAUAUUAGUAGGAAUGCUAUUUGUGAACCUUAAAAUUAUAAAAACUAAUUAUACAAACUAAAACACCAAUAGGAAAGGGGUUGGGAUCGGGGUGGUAGCAUCCCCACAUUCCGUUACCACAUCGUAGUAUCCAUUCCUAAUUAAUACCUUCAAAAUGUAAUUCCCCAAUCUAUUGAAAAACGGGUAUCCAUUCCUACCACCG
rnacentral:lncRNA from 1 species